UGUGCUUUCUGUGAGGAAGUCAAGAGGGUGCCACUCCCAUCCAAGGAUAAUCCUAAUCCCUGACUUCAGCUUCUUGCUAUCUAUGCCAUCUGUAAAGGUUACCUAUCCUUAGACAUAUUAGAAACCAUAUCAGUAACCAUAUGAUAUUUAAAAUCUUGAGAUCAAUUGUGUCAAGUAAAACAAAUUAAAUCAUGCCGGAUACAAAUUAUGAAUUUUUCCAUUAAAGUAUCAUCUUCAGGAAGUACCUCAGGAUCGAAAAGAAAAUAAAGACGUCCCUUCUUCAACUGAAGUGCAAAAUACUCUUCCUGAUUGUCAGGUGAUGCUGCAAAGACAAUCAAACCUUCAGGCACUUUUGUUCGAAAGCUGGCCUUAAUGCCUGAGAAGCCGUACAGUGACCCCAUAGCCCUACACUCAUCUCCUCUGUUAAUGACUCCACAGCUAUAAACGAGGCUUGACUUUGUUCUAUAAAGAAGACCCUCUCAACAGACUAGAUUUCCUUAUCCACAGAAAGCUGGUGUCAGUGGCCUUGCUGCAACCCUGCACCAUAUGAAGUUGCCCUCUGCUAGCCCAGGAACUCUCAUGGUGGUAUUCCACUUGAAAAUCCUCUCUGGGGACACAUGGCACUUCAGAUC